UUCGAUUUCCCAUGGCUCAACAAAGCCGCCUCCACCUCGACCCCAAACCCUAACCCGAGCAAGCCCAACAAUCCAAACCCCUUCCUCCCCAUCCAGUCCCACCUCACCUCCUUCCUCUCCUCCCUCCCCCUCCCACGGGCCAUUGCGCCGCCAUGGGCUCGCAUCCCCUCCCCAUCUUCGUCGGCGGCGCUGCCAGUCGCCGAGAUCGAGGACCGGCUCGCCGGGGUGCCCGUGUACGCCCUCGCUAAUUCCGCCCAGGAAUUUAUGCUCGUGUCGAAAACCCACAGGGGCGGGGGAGGGGAUGUGGCCGGCGGUGUGGGCGGAAGCGCGAGGCAUCCACCGGCGCUCGGGAUGCUCUGCUUCCGGAGGGAGGACGCGGAUAUGCUCCUCGCACAAAUGGACGAUGAUAUGCGCGCUGGUUCCACCGUGGUACCUGUUGCGCUCAACAAGGUUAUCCAACUGAAGUCUGAUGGUGUGGCAUUUAGAUUUCUUCCUGAUCCUUCUCAGGUGGCUGAUGCAAUUAAGUUGAUGCAAGAUGGAGGGGAAUUUUUGAAUGAGGGGUUUCCAGGAGUUCCUGUUUUCCAGUCAAGGAGCCUUGUUCUGAGGAAUGAUAACAAGAGAUAUCGUCCAGUUUUCUUCAGAAAGGAGGACUUAGACAAGUCACUGCACCGAGCAUCUAGUGACCAGCAAAGUCCUAUCCCUGCUGUUAGGAUUGGUGACACACAGGUUUCUUCUUUGGAGGAUAUCAUCACAUCAAUGAAGGAUAGCUCCUCCUCGAAAUGGGAUGAUGCCGUUUUUGUUCCUCCAGGUUUCGACAUAGCUAUUGGCUCAGAGCCAUCACGCCUCAACAAGUAG
rnacentral:rRNA from 1 species